CACAGGAUCGACAUGCAGAGGCCAUAAGACAUGCUGAGGAGAUGAAAGAUCAUAUGCAAAAGUAGAAUUCUACCCUCAGAGAAAAUAGCGCUAAAAGUUCAACAUGCCAGAUGGGAAGAAACCAUUAAACAGCAAGUGGCCCAAAUUCAAGAUCUUCAGAGCAACUUGUUAAGGAUAAGUUUGGCUACCUUCAUCAGAGAAACCAGAAUCUGAAAGCAGAACACUCAAUUGACAUGGCCCCCACCAGAGGGCACCUGAGCCAGUUUCCAGGGUGCUCUCUAUACAGCAAUUGGAUACCCCUAAACAUCUUCCUUGGAAUCACUUAUGAGCACAAGGAUUUUCCAGGAAAACCUUAGUGAAGACUCUGCGACUCGGAAGAACUAAAUCGAUGUCUAAAUUCAAUCCAACCUCAGGUCACCAGGCAAUAGUGUUUAGUAUAUUCUGGAACUUAAUGCACUGACUCGAAAACUCAUUUGAAGGAACAGCCAGGGAUUUUCAAGUGCUUAGCCAAUUUAGGCUUUUCUAGUGCUCAGAAUACUUUCAAGAUCAAGGAACAAGACAUCGUGUUACUGGUACACCAGACAAAGCAGAACUGAGUUUGCAGUUAGAGCCAAAGGAACACACAGGUUUCUGCAGAAUUACGAUGGGACUUCAAAGCAGGGGCAAGGUUAGGAUUAUUUUAGAAAUGGUGUCAGAUAACUCUCUGAGUUAAAAUGAGUGUCCAUUGGAAACUAAUGCAAUGCUGUUACGCUACCUGGAAUGAAACUAAAAAAGUUAAACAAUGAAAUGGGUAUCCAGUGUGUGCAUCAAGGAUUUAAAUGCAAGACAAUGCAAUUACAAAAUUAAAGAAUUAGUGAAUUAAAAAAAACAGUGUUAAGUGGCAAAGUCAAAGAGUGACAGAAACUCGGAAGCAAUGGACAAAAAGAGCCUGAUUCAACAACAACAACAAUUUUUUUUUAAUUACACCAAUGCUUAAAAGCUUACAAAUCACUGCAAACCCACUUGUAGGGAUCUAGGCCAAGGAGAGGAUGAUGAAGGAGCCUAGAUUUGGAUCCAAGGAUAGUCACGGUGGUUACAAUGUAGUUUUAUUGGGAGCCGUGGGGAACUGGUUAAAAUAUUAAGUGGUAAGGGCCAAAGUUUCUGGAGCUCCAUGUGCACUUCGUUGGGUGAAGUCACUGGCAGGUUAAUCGGGGGAUGGUUGGUGGGGGGAGGUUGGGCGGGGCAGGAGAGCAGGCAGAACCACCCACGCCCAUCCCCCUGAGACUCAGAGCACCUUUGAAAGCGCCAGGUGCACUACUAGGUAGGCCUCAUGUGGGCCUGGAUGGAGGCGGUGCCUGAAGGGGCUGGGCCAGCAGGGUUGAACUAGAAAUGAGGGUGGGGGCUGGUCGGGGCCAGCCUUGCUGACUGUGGGAGCGUCCCGCGAGGAGGCCAGGCUAGUCCUACUGCCCCUCGGUGACGGCGGUGAGGUACAGGUACAGGGCCAGUCCCGGGAAAGGCUGGCCCUUUCAGAGAGGAGCUUUGCCCCUCUGACCCCGCGGACGUCAGUGCUCAGGCGCUGCGGGGCUGGAAGAGGAACCCUAGGCUACAGGGCAUGAAAGAAGGCAACUAAAACCCCACAGAUCAGACUAAUGCUUCAGGAGGCAGGAACGAAGAGGAACUUCAGCGGGGGGCUGGAUUGCAGGCACUGUCGCUGAAGGGGAAAAGGGUUCUUGGAGCCAUUUUUCAAGACCAGGUGGUGAAUACCCGACAGUACUUGGAACAUGUGAAAGACUCCACAACAGGAAUGCAAGGUAGAGUGGUGAAGCUAUUCACCAACCAUUUCCGAGUGACCUCUCGCCCUCAACUCCUCACGUAUAAGUACAACAUUGAUUACAUGCCAGAGGUUGAAGAUGGAAAAGUUCGUACAGAUUUGCUCUGCCAGCAUAAACAUGUAAUUGGAGAGUGUCCCACAUUAGAUGGGAACUCUUUAUUACUGCCUCAUAAACUACAAAAGCAGGAAUUUUGAAGAUGAUGGAUUUGAAGCAAGUUGGUCGCAACUAUUACAACGAGAAUGAGGCCACGGAGUUCCUCAAUCACCAGACAUUUUAAGCUGAAGAGCGUGGAUGUAAAGCUGCUUGGCCAGCAUCAUCUUAGGAGUCCUCGACUUUAUUCUUGCUUCCCAAUUUCAAAAUUUACGACAAAGCUCUCGGAAUCAGGACAGUGGGAUACUGCAAGAGUUUCAAGACUGCUUUCUUGGGGAAGGAAUAC